CCUAUAAGACUGGGAUAACUUCGGGAAACCGGAGCUAAUGCCGGAUAACAUUUGGAACCGCAUGGUUCUAAAGUAAAAGAUGGUUUUGCUAUCACUUAUAGAUGGACCCGCGCCGUAUUAGCUAGUUGGUAAGGUAACGGCUUACCAAGGCAACGAUACGUAGCCGACCUGAGAGGGUGAUCGGCCACACUGGAACUGAGACACGGUCCAGACUCCUACGGGAGGCAGCAGUAGGGAAUCUUCCGCAAUGGACGAAAGUCUGACGGAGCAACGCCGCGUGAGUGAUGAAGGUUUUCGGAUCGUAAAACUCUGUUAUUAGGGAAGAACAAAUGUGUAAGUAACUGUGCACAUCUUGACGGUACCUAAUCUGAAAGCCACGGCUAACUACGUGCCAGCAGCCGCGGUAAUACGUAGGUGGCAAGCGUUAUCCGGAAUUAUUGGGCGUAAAGCGCGCGUAGGCGGUUUCUUAAGUCUGAUGUGAAAGCCCACGGCUCAACCGUGGAGGGUCAUUGGAAACUGGGAAACUUGAGUACAGAAGAGGAAAGUGGAAUUCCAUGUGUAGCGGUGAAAUGCGCAGAGAUAUGGAGGAACACCAGUGGCGAAGGCGACUUUCUGGUCUGUAACUGACGCUGAUGUGCGAAAGCGUGGGGAUCAAACAGGAUUAGAUACCCUGGUAGUCCACGCCGUAAACGAUGAGUGCUAAGUGUUAGGGGGUUUCCGCCCCUUAGUGCUGCAGCUAACGCAUUGAGCACUCCGCCUGGGGAGUACGACCGCAGGUUGAAACUCAAA
rnacentral:rRNA from 1 species